rnacentral:lncRNA from 1 species
AAGUCAACACUGCAAUAAAGCUCAGAUGGAAGAAAACAGUCCAAUUACCAUCUCCAGAAGCAAAGUAAUGAGGACUAGAGGACAUAGGGGAAAGUAGCAAAGUUGUAUUUUGUUGGAAAAUCAGUUAAAAUUUUGUUUCCAUUUACUUGCUUUCUUUCUCUGUAAUCUCCUCUUAGAGGGGUUUACAUCUUCAUGAAUACCAUGUAUGAGUUAUUCUUCUCAUCAAAUAAAAUUGUUCAG